rnacentral:rRNA from 1 species
AUACGUAGGGUGCGAGCGUUGUCCGGAAUUACUGGGCGUAAAGAGCUCGUAGGUGGUUUGUCGCGUCGUCUGUGAAAUUCCGGGGCUUAACUCCGGGCGUGCAGGCGAUACGGGCAUAACCUGAGUACUGUAGGGGAGACUGGAAUUCCUGGUGUAGCGGUGAAAUGCGCAGAUAUCAGGAGGAACACCGGUGGCGAAGGCGGGUCUCUGGGCAGUAACGGACGCUGAGGAGCGAAAGCAUGGGUAGCGAACAGGAUUAGAUACCCUGGUAGUCCAUGCCGUAAACGGUGGGCGCUAGGUGUAGGGGUCUUCCACGACUUCUGUGCCGUAGCUAACGCAUUAAGCGCCCCGCCUGGGGAGUACGGCCGCAAGGCUAAAACUCAAAUGAAUUGACGGGG